rnacentral:rRNA from 1 species
AUAAUGGGUCAGCGACUUAUAUUCUGUAGCAAGGUUAACCGAAUAGGGGAGCCGAAGGGAAACCGAGUCUUAACUGGGCGUUAAGUUGCAGGGUAUAGACCCGAAACCCGGUGAUCUAGCCAUGGGCAGGUUGAAGGUUGGGUAACACUAACUGGAGGACCGAACCGACUAAUGUUGAAAAAUUAGCGGAUGACUUGUGGCUGGGGGUGAAAGGCCAAUCAAACCGGGAGAUAGCUGGUUCUCCCCGAAAGCUAUUUAGGUAGCGCCUCGUGAAUUCAUCUCCGGGGGUAGAGCACUGUUUCGGCAAGGGGGUCAUCCCGACUUACCAACCCGAUGCAAACUGCGAAUACCGGAGAAUGUUAUCACGGGAGACACACGGCGGGUGCUAACGUCCGUCGUGAAGAGGGAAACAACCCAGACCGCCAGCUAAGGUCCCAAAGUCAUGGUUAAGUGGGAAACGAUGUGGGAAGGCCCAGACAGCCAGGAUGUUGGCUUAGAAGCAGCCAUCAUUUAAAGAAAGCGUAAUAGCUCACUGGUCGAGUCGGCCUGCGCGGAAGAUGUAACGGGGCUAAACCAUGCACCGAAGCUGCGGCAGCGACACUGUGUGUUGUUGGGUAGGGGAGCGUUCUGUAAGCCUGCGAAGGUGUGCUGUGAGGCAUGCUGGAGGUAUCAGAAGUGCGAAUGCUGACAUAAGUAACGAUAAAGCGGGUGAAAAGCCCGCUCGCCGGAAGACCAAGGGUUCCUGUCCAACGUUAAUCGGGGCAGGGUGAGUCGACCCCUA